rnacentral:rRNA from 1 species
UAGGGAAUCUUCGGCAAUGGGGGGAACCCUGACCGAGCAACGCCGCGUGAGUGAAGAAGGUUUUCGGAUCGUAAAGCUCUGUUGUUAAGGAAGAACGAGUGUGAGAAUGGAAAGUUCAUGCUGUGACGGUACUUAACCAGAAAGGGACGGCUAACUACGUGCCAGCAGCCGCGGUAAUACGUAGGUCCCGAGCGUUGUCCGGAUUUAUUGGGCGUAAAGCGAGCGCAGGCGGUUAGAAAAGUCUGAAGUGAAAGGCAGUGGCUCAACCAUUGUAGGCUUUGGAAACUGUUUAACUUGAGUGCAGAAGGGGAGAGUGGAAUUCCAUGUGUAGCAGUGAAAUGCGUAGAUAUAUGGAGGAACACCGGUGGCGAAAGCGGCUCUCUGGACUGUAACUGACGCUGAGGCUCGAAAGCGUGGGGAGCGAACAGG